CCAGGUUGUCUAGGAUAUAACAUUUCUUGCAAGAGGAGCCUGGUUCAACAUCAAGAUAGAGUCAACAAAGUUUUCUUUCAAAUGCCUGCAGGUACGUGGUGCGGCGCAUCCGGGCUGCAGUGAGAAGGGGAGAGCAGCCAGAGAAGCCCACCGCAGCAUGUAGCCAGGCCAAGGCAUGGAAGGAGGAGGGUAUGCAGAAGAAUGGACAGGUGGAGCCGAUGUUCAAACCCCUGGUAACGGAGCCGGAACCAGGCCUGAAGGUGGCAGAGUGGGCCUCUGGUGAAUGACGUUAGAGAGGGCUGGAUAGAAAACAGGAGAGAGUGUGGAGGAAGGGAUGAGAGGAACAACUGUGUAAAAGAUGCACUGACUCAGUUGCAUUAUUAUCUGUAUCCUGUAAGACUAUAGCAGCAACCUCAUAUGUUGUCCUAUCACAUGCUAUGGAGAGACGCCCACUGCAUUAACUAAUCCUUGCUAAUGCCAUGUCAGUAUGAGGAGUUACAUGUACUGCAUGUUUUCU
rnacentral:lncRNA from 8 species